rnacentral:rRNA from 1 species
AUUGAACGCUGGCGGCAGGCUUAACACAUGCAAGUCGAGCGAGCGGCGGACGGGUGAGUAAUGUCUGGGAAACUGCCUGAUGGAGGGGGAUAACUACUGGAAACGGUAGCUAAUACCGCAUACCAUCAGAUGUGCCCAGAUGGGAUUAGCUAGUAGGUGGGGUAAUGGCUCACCUAGGCGACGAUCCCUACCUGGGCUGAGAGGAGGACCAGCCAGACUGGCACGUAGACGCGGUACAGACUCCUACGGGAGGCAGCAGUGGGGAAUUUUGCACAAUGGGCGCAAGCCUGAUGCAGCCAUGCCGCGUGUGUGAAGAAGGCCUUCGAGUUGUAAAGCACUUUCAGCGAGGAAGCGUUACUCGCAGAAGAAGCACCGGCUAACGCCGUGCCAGCAGCCGCGGUAAUAC